ACAUGCUCCAAUCUGAACAAAUUUCACAUUGGCCCAGGACUGUACUUUUAUAGAACAGUCUAGGCAAAGUGAGUUCAUAUAAGCCUCUAUGGCAAGUUCUUAUUUUCAUUAAGUCGUGGCUGUCCACCAGCUCCUCUUUUUUAAAAAAGGAAAUUGGAAAUUGAAAGUCUCUGAAAAACUUGGAUAAAAAUGGUUAUCUACCUGCGGAAAAUCACACCGGGUUAUAUAAGAUUAUUGCAGGAAAACAGUUGGUAAGAAGACAUUUCAAAACAAUAUAUGACACCAGUGGAAAUGCAUAAAAGUAAUAUUUGCAAUUAAGAACUCUUAAGACAUUUGUGUUUACAUCACUUCAUGCAUCAGGAAUGGGCAACUCAUUGGAUGAAGGGGAAGCCCUCUUUGAGUCCUGUCUCCAGAAAUACAGGAAAAAUCAGAGAGACAAAGCUGGAGGAGGAGAACAAGUUCUUGACAAGCGAAAUUGAAAGCCUUGUGAAACAAAACAAAUACUUGAAGGAGAAACUCCUUCAAAGUCAAGGAAGGCCUGCCUAAGAGGAAGAAGACCUUCCAAGUGAGAAACAACCGACUGGAAAAAGACCAAGGAAAAUACAUGCUGCAAAUGAAGAAGGAGCUGGCAGUGAUUAAGAGUAGUGUGAAAAACUAAAAGCGGAAAUUCAGUGUUUCCAUCAAGAAAUGGAUCAACUGAAAAUUGAAAUAGCAAAGGAGACCCAAAAACAUAAAAUACUCCAAGAGGCUAUUGAGAAAAAUAUAUUAAAAAAUGUGUAAAAUAUUCAAUUCCAUAUGCCUCAGAAGAAAUAGAAAACCCAAAGACAAUGAUUCUGCUGGAUCCUCAUAUAAGACUUAUGAAUGUUUUGAAAAGCACCUUGGGAUCAGGAGCCACAAAGUGGCCUAUUACAACACUGAUGAAAGAGAUGAGCAAUCCCGCCAAAGGAUAGAAAUAGAAGAUAAGUAUUAGGAUAGUUUUUUGUUUCACUCUUUUUAAUAAAUUUAUCAUGUUUGAGUAUUUCAUGAUUAGCUUACAUUUUGUUACAUAUCUGCAUUUUUGCUACCACAGUGAAAUCAUCCAUCAUCAAAAUGCAACACAGCGAGAAGAUACCCUUGAACCAAUUCCAAGGUUAUUCCCAGGACUUCCCAGUUCAGUGAAUAUUUCAACUUCAAAGACACCUGCAGUCGUUUUUUGGGACUCCCUCUGCUCCUUACUUUACCCAAUCAGGGACAACCAGAACGGGCUGGAUUGCUGUGGCUAACAAAUGCAGUCUAUGAUCGGAGCCUUGAUGAGUUGAAGGGGUUCAUGAGGGCUGCAACUGCACCCCAAUGAUUGCCAGUAUCACGAGGCAGCACCAGCCAUGAUCGAAGCACAACAUCCGAGUGUAGGUGAAGGAUGGUACUGUCUCCAGAGCUACAAGAAACAUCAGAGACAAAGAACAAAAGGACACAAAAGAAACAAGAAGAAAACACCAGGAGAAGAUGGCUAAGAAAAAUGCCAUGAUAGAUCUGGAAGAAGAAAAUGAGUUAUUGGCAAGUGAAGUUGCAAGCCUUGCACCAAAACAAGUACUUGAAUGAAAAACUCCUUCAAAGUAAAGGAAGGCCUGCCUAAGAGGAAGAAGACCUUCCAAGUGAGAAACAGCCAACUGGAAAAAGACCAAGGAAAAUAGAAUGAAAUCAUCCAUCAUCAAAAUGCAACACAGCGUGAAGAUACCUUUUGAACCAAUUCCAAGGUUAUUCCCAGGACUUCCCAGUGAAUAUUUCAACUUCCAAAACACCUGCAAUCCUUUUUUUGGACUCCGUCCACUUCUUGCUUUACCCAAUCAGGGACAACCAGAACUGGCUGGAUUGCUGUGGCUAAGAAAUGCAGUCCUGUGACAUUGCACAUUAUACCUCUUCACUUAACAAUAUCAAUGACAAUCAGACCCAAUUUGGUCCCAGUUGAUGUCAUUGUCAGCCCUGGAGAAGUUUUCUUUGGAUCUUCAGGGCUGCCACACUUGGUGCUGUGGGAAAUUGGGAGGGGGAAUUGCAUGGAAUUGUAGAGAUAUCUAGCCAUAACAACAUUCUUUUCCCUGGACAUCAAGGACGUUCAGCUUGCAAUUGGAGUUGCGUGACUGAGAGGUAUCUCCAGUUGGGAUGGUGGAUUGAUUGGACCAUGUGAUAGACAUGUGAGUGCAGGGAAAAGGACUUCGACUUUCUUUUGGGUGGGGAAAGCCCGGAAGCUUUCAGAUUCAGGUUUUCCCAGAUGUGCCAAUAUGACAUCUCUAAUAAAGUGGAACUUUGAGGAA